UACCUGGUUGAUCCUGCCAGUAAUCAUAUGCUUGUCUCAAAGAUUAAGCCAUGCAUGUCUAAGUACAUGCCGAAAUAAGGCGAAACCGCGAAUGGCUCAUUAAAUCAGUUAUGGUUCCUUAGAUCGUUUCUUCCUACUUGGAUAACUGUGGCAAUUCUAGAGCUAAUACAUGCAGUGAGCCUGAAGCCCUUUGGGCGACGGGUGCUUUUAUUAGACCAAGAUCGAUCGGGUUUCGGCCCGUAUUGUGUGGUGACUCUGGAUAACUUUGUGCUGAUCGCAUGGCCACGAGCCGGCGACGUUUCUUUCAAGUGUCUGCCUUAUCAACUUUCGAUGGUAGGUUACUUGCUUACCAUGGUUGUUACGGGUAACGGAGAAUCAGGGUUCGAUUCCGGAGAGGGAGCCUGAGAAACGGCUACCACAUCCAAGGAAGGCAGCAGGCGCGCAAAUUACCCACUCCCGGCACGGGGAGGUAGUGACGAAAAAUAACAAUACGGGACUCUUUUGAGGCCCCGUAAUUGAAAUGAGUACACUCUAAAUCCUUUAACGAGGAUCAAUUGGAGGGCAAGUCUGGUGCCAGCAGCCGCGGUAAUUCCAGCUCCAAUAGCGUAUACUAAAGCUGCUGCGGUUAAAAAGCUCGUAGUUGGAUCUCAGUUCCAGACGAGUAGUGCAUCUACCCGAUGCGACGGCUCGGACUGAACAUCAUGCCGGUUCCUUUCUUGGUGCACUUCAUUGUGUGCCUCGAGAAGGCCGGUGCUUUUACUUUGAAAAAAUUAGAGUGCUCAACGCAGGCGAGUCGCCUGAAUAAACUUGCAUGGAAUAAUAGAACAAGACCUCGUUUCUGUUCUGUUGGUUUUUGGAAUACGAGGUAAUGAUUAAGAGGGACAGACGGGGGCAUUCGUAUUGCGGCGCUAGAGGUGAAAUUCUUGGACCGUCGCAAGACGAACUACUGCGAAAGCAUUUGCCAAGAAUGUUUUCUUUGAUCAAGAACGAAAGUCAGAGGUUCGAAGGCGAUCAGAUACCGCCCUAGUUCUGACCAUAAACGAUGCCAACCAGCGAUCCGCCUGAGUUACUCAAAUGACUCGGCGGGCAGCUUCCGGGAAACCAAAGUGUUUGGGUUCCGGGGGAAGUAUGGUUGCAAAGCUGAAACUUAAAGGAAUUGACGGAAGGGCACCACCAGGAGUGGAGCCUGCGGCUUAAUUUGACUCAACACGGGAAAACUUACCCGGCCCGGACACUGGGAGGAUUGACAGAUUGAGAGCUCUUUCUUGAUUCGGUGGAUGGUGGUGCAUGGCCGUUCUUAGUUGGUGGAGCGAUUUGUCUGGUUAAUUCCGAUAACGAACGAGACUCUAGCCUAUUAAAUAGGUGCGGGGUUCCCAGCACCUUACAACCUUCUUAGAGGGACAAGCGGCUCCUAGCCGCACGAAACAGAGCAAUAACAGGUCUGUGAUGCCCUUAGAUGUCCGGGGCCGCACGCGCGCUACACUGAAGGAAGCAGCGUGUCUUUAUCCCUGUCUGAAAGGACUGGGUAACCCGUGGAACUUCUUUCGUGAUUGGGAUAGGGGCUUGCAAUUGUUCCCCUUGAACGAGGAAUUCCCAGUAAGCGCGAGUCAUAAGCUCGCGUUGAUUACGUCCCUGCCCUUUGUACACACCGCCCGUCGCUACUACCGAUUGAAUGAUUUAGUGAGGUCUUCGGACCGAUGUCCGGCGCGGCCUUUCGGUUGCGCCGGUCUGUUGGAAAGAUGACCAAACUUGAUCAUUUAGAGGAAGUAAAAGUCGUAACAAGGUUUCCGUAGGUGAACCUGCGGAAGGAUCAUUA
rnacentral:rRNA from 1 species